GACGAACGCUGGCGGCGUGCUUAACACAUGCAAGUCGAACGGAAAGGCCCUGCUUUUGUGGGGUGCUCGAGUGGCGAACGGGUGAGUAACACGUGAGUAACCUGCCCUUGACUUUGGGAUAACUUCAGGAAACUGGGGCUAAUACCGGAUAGGAGCUCCUGCUGCAUGGUGGGGGUUGGAAAGUUUCGGCGGUUGGGGAUGGACUCGCGGCUUAUCAGCUUGUUGGUGGGGUAGUGGCUUACCAAGGCUUUGACGGGUAGCCGGCCUGAGAGGGUGACCGGCCACAGUGGGACUGAGAUACGGCCCAGACUCCUACGGGAGGUAGCGGUGGCGAAUAUUGCACAAUGGGCGGAAGCCUGAUGCAGCAACGCCGCGUGCGGGAUGACGGCCUUCGGGUUGUAAACCGCUUUCGCCUGUGACGAAGCGUGAGUGACGGUAAUGGGUAAAGAAGCACCGGCUAACUACGUG
rnacentral:rRNA from 1 species